GGUGCUGCUGCAGGUGCUGCAGCAGCAGCUGCUGCUGCUGCUUCUGCUGCAGCAGCAGGCUCGAAGGUGAGGAGACACCGCAGGGUGUCUCCUGAAA
rnacentral:snoRNA from 1 species